rnacentral:rRNA from 1 species
UUUAUGGAGAGUUUGAUCCUGGCUCAGGAUGAACGCUGGCGGCGUGCCUAAUACAUGCAAGUCGAGCGAACAGACGAGGAGCUUACUCCUCUGACGUUAGCGGCGGACGGGUGAGUAACACGUGGAUAACCUACCUAUAAGACUGGGAUAACUUCGGGAAACCGGAGCUAAUACCGGAUAACAUGUUGAACCGCAUGGUUCAACAGUGAAAGACGGUCUUGCUGUCACUUAUAGAUGGAUCCGCGUCGCAUUAGCUAGUUGGUAAGGUAACGGCUUACCAAGGCAACGAUGCGUAGCCGACCUGAGAGGGUGAUCGGCCACACUGGAACUGAGACACGGUCCAGACUCCUACGGGAGGCAGCAGUAGGGAAUCUUCCGCAAUGGGCGAAAGCCUGACGGAGCAACGCCGCGUGAGUGAAGAAGGUCUUCGGAUCGUAAAACUCUGUUAUUAGGGAAGAACAAAUGUGUAAGUAACUAUGCACGUCUUGACGGUACCUAAUCAGAAAGCCACGGCUAACUACGUGCCAGCAGCCGCGGUAAUACGUAGGUGGCAAGCGUUAUCCGGAAUUAUUGGGCGUAAAGCGCGCGUAGGCGGUUUUUUAAGUCUGAUGUGAAAGCCCACGGCUCAACCGUGGAGGGUCAUUGGAAACUGGAAAACUUGAGUGCAGAAGAGGAAAGUGGAAUUCCAUGUGUAGCGGUGAAAUGCGCAGAGAUAUGGAGGAACACCAGUGGCGAAGGCGACUUUCUGGUCUGUAACUGACGCUGAUGUGCGAAAGCGUGGGGAUCAAACAGGAUUAGAUACCCUGGUAGUCCACGCCGUAAACGAUGAGUGCUAAGUGUUAGGGGGUUUCCGCCCCUUAGUGCUGCAGCUAACGCAUUAAGCACUCCGCCUGGGGAGUACGACCGCAAGGUUGAAACUCAAAGGAAUUGACGGGGACCCGCACAAGCGGUGGAGCAUGUGGUUUAAUUCGAAGCAACGCGAAGAACCUUACCAAAUCUUGACAUCCUCUGACCCCUCUAGAGAUAGAGUUUUCCCCUUCGGGGGACAGAGUGACAGGUGGUGCAUGGUUGUCGUCAGCUCGUGUCGUGAGAUGUUGGGUUAAGUCCCGCAACGAGCGCAACCCUUAAGCUUAGUUGCCAUCAUUAAGUUGGGCACUCUAAGUUGACUGCCGGUGACAAACCGGAGGAAGGUGGGGAUGACGUCAAAUCAUCAUGCCCCUUAUGAUUUGGGCUACACACGUGCUACAAUGGACAAUACAAAGGGUAGCGAAACCGCGAGGUCAAGCAAAUCCCAUAAAGUUGUUCUCAGUUCGGAUUGUAGUCUGCAACUCGACUACAUGAAGCUGGAAUCGCUAGUAAUCGUAGAUCAGCAUGCUACGGUGAAUACGUUCCCGGGUCUUGUACACACCGCCCGUCACACCACGAGAGUUUGUAACACCCGAAGCCGGUGGAGUAACCUUUUGGAGCUAGCCGUCGAAGGUGGGACAAAUGAUUGGGGUGAAGUCGUAACAAGGUAGCCGUAUCGGAAGGUGCGGCUGGAUCACCUCCUUU